UUGGUGACCAGCGGAGGGAUCAUUACCGAGUUUACAACUCCCAAACCCAAUGUGAACGUUACCAAACUGUUGCCUCGGCGGGAUCUCUGCCCCGGGUGCGUCGCAGCCCCGGACCAAGGCGCCCGCCGGAGGACCAACCAAAACUCUUUUUGUAUACCCCCUCGCGGGUUUUUUUAUAAUCUGAGCCUUCUCGGCGCCUCUCGUAGGCGUUUCGAAAAUGAAUCAAAACUUUCAACAACGGAUCUCUUGGUUCUGGCAUCGAUGAAGAACGCAGCGAAAUGCGAUAAGUAAUGUGAAUUGCAGAAUUCAGUGAAUCAUCGAAUCUUUGAACGCACAUUGCGCCCGCCAGUAUUCUGGCGGGCAUGCCUGUCCGAGCGUCAUUUCAACCCUCGAACCCCUCCGGGGGGUCGGCGUUGGGGAUCGGCCCUCCCUUAGCGGGUGGCCGUCUCCGAAAUACAGUGGCGGUCUCGCCGCAGCCUCUCCUGCGCAGUAGUUUGCACACUCGCAUCGGGAGCGCGGCGCGUCCACAGCCGUUAAACACCCAACUUCUGAAAUGUUGACCUCGGAUCAGGUAGGAAUACCCGCUGAACUUAAGCAUAUCAA
rnacentral:rRNA from 1 species